rnacentral:rRNA from 1 species
AGCGAACGCUGGCGGCAGGCCUAACACAUGCAAGUCGAACGAAGUCUUCGGACUUAGUGGCGGACGGGUGAGUAACACGUGGGAACGUGCCUUUAGGUUCGGAAUAACUCAGGGAAACUUGUGCUAAUACCGAAUGUGCCCUUCGGGGGAAAGAUUUAUCGCCUUUAGAGCGGCCCGCGUCUGAUUAGCUAGUUGGUGCGGUAAAGGCUAACCAAGGCGACGAUCAGUAGCUGGUCUGAGAGGAUGAUCAGCCACAUUGGGACUGAGACACGGCCCAAACUCCUACGGGAGGCAGCAGGGGGGACGCUUGCGCAAUGGGCGAAAGCCUGACGCAGCCAUGCCGCGUGAAUGAUGAAUGUCUUAGGAUUGUAAAAUUCUUUCACCGGGGACGAUAAUGACUGUACCCGGAGAAGAAGCCCCGGCUAACUUCGUGCCAGCCGCCGCGGUAAUAC